AAUAUUUGACAAUGGGCGAAAGCCUGAUCCAGCCAUGCCGCCUGUGUGAAGAAGGUCGUCGGAUUAUACAGCACUUUAAGUUUGGAGGAAGGGCAGGAAGUUAAUACCUUGCUGUUUUGACGUUACCGGCAGAAUAAGCACCGGCUAACUUCGUACCCGUAGCCGCGGUAAGACGAAGGGUGCAAGGGUUAAUCGGAAUUACUGGGCGUAACGCGCGCGGAGGUGGUGUGUUAAGUUGGAACGGAAAGGACAGGGCUGAACCUGGGAACUGCUUUCAAAACUGGCAAGCUAGAGUAUGGGAGAGGGUGGUGGAAUUUACUGUGUAGCGGUGAAAUGAAUAGAUAUAGGAAGGAACGCCAGUGGCGAAGGCGACCACCUGGGCUAAUAAUGACACUGAGGUGCGAAAGCGUGGGGAGCAAAC
rnacentral:rRNA from 1 species